GGGCUUGUACCGGUUUCGACAGGUCGGCGGAAGAUGGAGAAGCUAUCCGUGGACUGUGACCACGUUAAAACACAGACUUAAAUCUAAACGCUAACAAUAACAAGUUAGUUGCUCAGGCUGCCUAAUCGCGCCUGGCUGCCAUGUGUCUGACUCCUGCGACAGUCGCAUGGUAUCAUCCUCAGCAGGCAACCUCGUUUUAUCCUGUCCGGGGUGAGGCGAGAGGUUAAUCGGACUACUGAACCCGUGGGAUGUCGAUCUCCGAUCGGGUGAGGGAAAACCAAGGAACGACCGACUAUGAUAGUAGAAGUACAUGGGACUCCGGUUUGGACGCGGGUUCGACUCCCGCCAGGUCCAUCA
rnacentral:tmRNA from 1 species